GGCGAGGCCGAAAGGCGUAGCCGAUGGACAACAGGUUGAGAUUCCUGUACUAUAUCAUGACAGAACUGUGGGGACACAGAGGGAAAGCCUGAGCCGGAGAUGGAAGAGCCGGUGCAAGCGAAGGAGCCGUCGGACAGGCAAAUCCGUUCGAUAAGGCAAAAGCGUGAUGCGGACCGAAGUUUAGUAGGGAAGCAGGUGAGCCAGCUGUCGAGAAAAGCCGCUAUUGUUCAUGAUAUACCCGUACCGUAAACCGACACAGGUGGAUGAGGAGAGAAUCCUAAGGCCGACGGGAGAAGCGUUGUUAAGGAACUCGGCAAAAUGACUCCGUAACUUCGGGAGAAGGGGUGCCUGCGAAAGCAGGCCGCAGAGAAGAGGCCCAAGCAACUGUUUAGCAAAAACACAGGUCUAUGCGAAACCGAAAGGUGAGGUAUAUGGGCUGACGCCUGCCCGGUGCUGGAAGGUUAAGGGGAGAGGUUAGCGAAAGCGAAGCCUUGAACUUAAGCCCCAGUAAACGGCGGCCGUAACAAUAACGGUCCUAAGGUAGCGAAAUUCCUUGUCGGGUAAGUUCCGACCCGCACGAAAGGCGUAAUGAUUUGGGCACUGUCUCGACAACGCACCCGGUGAAAUUGAAGUACCAGUGAAGAUGCUGGUUACCCGCGCCAGGACGGAAAGACCCCAUGGAGCUUUACUCCAGCUUGAUACUGGGACUCGGUAUUGCUGUACAGGAUAGGUGGGAGGCUAAGAAGCAAGGACGCCAGUCUUUGCGGAGCCGCUGUUGGGGUACCACCCUUGUGGUACUGGGUUUCUAACGUACAGCCAUGAACUGGCUGGCGGACAAUGUCAGGUGGGGAGUUUGACUGGGGCGGUCGCCUCCGAAAGGGUAUCGGAGGCGCUCAAAGGUUCCCUCAGAAUGGUUGGAAACCAUUCGAAGAGUGCAAAGGCAGAAGGGAGCUUGACUGCGACACCGACGGGUGGAGCAGGUACGAAAGUAGGACUUAGUGAUCCGGUGGUAUAAAGUGGGAUUGCCAUCGCUCAACGGAUAAAGGCUACCCUGGGAUAACAGGCUUAUCACUCCCAAGAGUUCACAUCGACGGAGUGGUAUGGCACCUCGAUGUCGGCUCAUCGCAUCCUGGGGCUGGAGUAGGUCCCAAGGGUUGGGCUGUUCGCCCAUUAAAGCGGUACGCGAGCUGGGUUCAGAACGUCGUGAGACAGUUCGGUCCCUAUCCGGCGCGGGCGUAGGAUAUUUGAGAGGAGCUGUCCUUAGUACGAGAGGACCGGGAUGGACGGACCACUGGUGUACCAGUCGCAUACCAAAUGCAGAGCUGGGUAGCCAAGUCUGGAAGGGAUAAACGCUGAAGGCAUCUAAGCGUGAAGCCCCCCUCAAGAUGAGAUAUCCCAUUCGA
rnacentral:rRNA from 1 species